GGGAGCGUAGAGGCGUCUUGGCCAUCAUGAUGGGCCGCCUUUCAACCUUGCCAAGGUUGGGGUCGAGGGUUCGAAUCCCUUCGCCCGCUCCA
rnacentral:tRNA from 1 species